rnacentral:rRNA from 1 species
UACGUAGGGUACGAGCGUUGUCCGGAAUUAUUGGGCGUAAAGAGCUCGUAGGUGGUUGGUCGCGUCUGCUGUGGAAACGCAACGCUUAACGUUGCGCGGGCAGUGGGUACGGGCUGACUAGAGUGCAGUAGGGGAGUCUGGAAUUCCUGGUGUAGCGGUGAAAUGCGCAGAUAUCAGGAGGAACACCGGUGGCGAAGGCGGGACUCUGGGCUGUAACUGACGCUGAGGCUCGAAAGUAUGGGUAGCAAACAGG